GAGAGAAGAAACUGGUGUUGGGUGCACCUGUAGAGUUGGGGUCUAAGGGGUGGGUUCAGGAAGGCUCCAGAGAUGAGUGAGAGAGUGGCUUGGGGAAGUAGUGAGGUGGAAAGCAGCAAUGACUGGCAAGGUUCUGUUGCACCUGCUUUAGAUGGUCACAGCCCGAUAACAUCUAUUUCCUCAAACUAAGCCAAUCAUCAGACCUCUUGCUUUAAAAAUACAUGAUAGAUUCUGUUCUGGGUCUGGUGCUGCUGAGCAGUUUUACUAAUGGCUUAGAUUCAGGGCUAGAGAGCUUCCUGAUCACUGCUACAGAUCACACAAAACUGGGAGGCAUUGCAAACAUGGAGGAGGAUUGGAGUAAAACUUCACACAAGUCAGGAAUGUGAUGCAGCUGCAAAACAACAACAACAACAAACCCCAAAAAACCAAAUGCAGUUUGGCCUGCAUUGUAAGAAGGAUGUAGAGAAACCAGAGAGGAUCCAAAGCAAGGCCAAUUGGAAGAGGCACCUGGAAAUCAGGGGAGUCCAGUAACAUUUCUCAGCUCCAUGAUACUUGGUUAAUGCUUGUGCUUUCAGCUGCCUUAAUUUUUUAGAGCUGCAGAGAAGGUACAUCAUAAGGAAUUAGCAGGCUGGGUCAGGCACAUGAUCCAUCUUAUCCAGGAUCCCAUCGCUCACAGGAGCCAAAGUUAGGGAAAAAUGGAAAAAAUUUAGAAUGAACUAGAGGUUCAGACUACGGGACAAAAAUGGUGUAGGAGGGCCUGCAGACAUGUGAGCGUGUGUAUGGCGGAAGAGGGACUGGCUGGGAUUCCUCAGCAUCCUUCAUUGAAAUCUGUAACUGGCCAGCUAGGAGAUAAGCAGAGCAGACCAGGCUUGAUGGUGACUGAAAGCAAAACCUGGCCAACCUCUGUAAGUAUAUUUGUAAAUAAGAGGGAACUGUUUAACUAUUUCCUAUUUCCUGUUGAA